rnacentral:misc_RNA from 1 species
GAAAUGCGAUAAGUAAUGGGAAUUGCAGAAUUCAGUGAAUCAUCGAAUCUUUGAACGCACAUUGCGCCCGCCAGUAUUCUGGCGGGCAUGCCUGUUCGAGCGUCAUUACAACCCUCAGGCCCCCGGGCCUGGCGUUGGGGAUCGGCGGAAGCCCCCUGCGGGCACAACGCCGUCCCCCAAAUACAGUGGCGGUCCCGCCGCAGCUUCCAUUGCGUAGUAGCUAACACCUCGCAACUGGAGAGCGGCGCGGCCACGCCGUAAAACACCCAACUUCUGAAUGUUGACCUCGAAUCAGGUAGGAAUACCCGCUGAACUUAAGC